CCGGCUUAUCCCCUUGGUGCUUCAGAGAUGCUGCCUGCCUCACUCUUACCGCUGGGUCUUCUCCCAGUCGGCACCAUUCAUACCUUAUGUGCCCCGCCUAUGGCCUCUUCCUGGCCUGACCACGAGCUCUACCUUAAGAGACUCUGAGGAUGGUUCUUGGGUCAGAGGUCCUUUAGUUUCUGUGGAGCUGGUCCAAACCCCGUCAGGGAACAGAACUUCAAUUUCAGGUGAUAAAGCACAACUCAAACUGAUGUUAAUGAAAGGCAGGAAGACCAGCAAGGAGAGUACCAGUCCCAGGCA
ensembl:lncRNA